GACAUUUCUUCAUCUUUCUCAGCCAGAAACGCCGUAGCAGGUCUCCUAUGCUGGUUUUUCAUAUUUUUGCACCAUUACUUAUCUAGUCACUCGGGGAUCGAAGGAAAUGUCGGAGGCCGAUCACACUAUCAAAGAAAUAACUCGGUAUAACUAGACGUUUUGUUUUGGGUAUGGCAUGUAUAGAAACUUAGCUACUUUUGGUAUAAUAUGAAUAAUGAAUGAUGUGUAAAUACUUGCUAGUGAUUAGCUAAGAAAAUAGCUGAUGAUAUACAUGUUUAUUAAUAUGUAUGAUUGAAUGAUGAUUAUCACAUGAAAAUUAUGAAAAA